CCCCCACUGGGUAAGUUAUCAGCUAUAUUUGGCGUAGUGAGUUUCUGGAUGGAAGAAAGAUGAAGAGAUUGGCAGGUGUGGAGUCAGGGACUCCUUAGUCUUGAAGGAAACAUCCAUGGCUUAGAGAGACCCUGUAAUUUGGGAAAUGUGAAUCUUGUACCCAUCUAUUCAGGACUCCUGAAGACAAAGAUGAGCCUUCUGUUUCCAGUGAUCAUGGGCCCCAGAUGAAGCCAGCCUGGGGGUAAUAAACCAGGUGAUAGUUUCACCUUCAGGAAGUCAUUUCUCCUCCCAAGCCUGCUUCCUCAUUAAAAAACAGAACACAGCAAUGAUGUUUGUGACUUACAGUGUGUUGUGACCUACAGUGAAGGAGCGUGCGUGAACACCACCUAGUCAAUGCCUAAUACAGGUUUUGCAAAGUAACUCUGAAAGCAACUUCUGCAGUGAUGUGAAUCUGCCCACGGGGUAUUUUUACCCUGAAUAACAAUAACUCCCCAUAGAACCGAACGGCUCCUUUUGGCAGAGCUCUAUUAUUGUUAUUUGGGACUGACGGCCUGUCAGUCUUUUCUUCCAGAAGCAGAAAUGCUAAUCAGGCCUUCAGCAUGAUGGGACUGAGGACUCACACUCCUGUGCUUUGCUUGGGCCCACGUGGACAACGGUUUUGCUGAAUCUUGUUUUUGGAGGUCCUUCUGGAGAGGCGGCCUGAAAGAAACUCUGGCAAUCAAGAGAAUGUUGUUGUAACCCAGCUUGCUGUACGACAUGGUUCACCAAAUUACAUUAGCAUAUAAAACUUGGACUAUUGAUUUCUUCUUGACUUGUUGCGGUUUCUGGGCAAAAGUCCAGUUUAUAGAAGCAGAGAGAACAUACAC